rnacentral:lncRNA from 1 species
UUUGUUUAUGUGUUACAUAUUUGUUUUUCGUUCAUUUUUUUUUACAUAAAUAAGGCCGUUAGUUUUCUCGUUUGAAUUGUUUUACAUUGUAUUAUCGGGGUCUUUUAUAGCUCACUAUGCGGUAUGGGCUUUGCUUAUUGUUGAAGGCCGUACGGUGACCUAUAGUUGUUAAUGUCUGUGUCAUGUUGGUCUUUUGUGGAUAGUUGUC